rnacentral:tRNA from 2 species
CGCGGGGUGGAGGAGUAGUACCUCGUGAGGCUCAUAACCUCAAGGCGCCGGUGCAAUUCCGGCCCCCGCAA